rnacentral:snRNA from 1 species
CACUCUUGUUUCUCUUCAGAUCGUAUAAAUCUUUCGCCUUUUACUAAAGAUUUCCGUGGAGAGGAACAACAAGAGCCUUAACCAAUUUUUGAUGUCCUGCUCUACUGUGGGGC